rnacentral:tRNA from 1 species
GGUGUAGUUCAAUUGGUAGAACAGCGGGCUUCAACCCCGCAUGUUGUGGGUUCGAGUCCUGUCACC